rnacentral:rRNA from 1 species
GACCAGACUCCUACGGGAGGCAGCAGUGGGGAAUAUUGCACAAUGGGGGAAACCCUGAUGCAGCGACGCCGCGUGAGCGAUGAAGUAUUUCGGUAUGUAAAGCUCUAUCAGCAGGGAAGAAAAUGACGGUACCUGAAGAAGAAGCCCCGGCUAACUACGUGCCAGCAGCCGCGGUAAUACGUAGGGGGCAAGCGUUAUCCGGAUUUACUGGGUGUAAAGGGGGCGCAGACGGCGAUGCAAGCCAGGAGUGAAAGCCCGGGGCCCAACCCCGGGACUGCUCUUGGAACUGCGUGGCUGGAGUGCAGGAGGGGCAGGCGGAAUUCCUGGUGUAGCGGUGAAAUGCGUAGAUAUCAGGAGGAACACCGGUGGCGAAGGCGGCCUGCUGGACGAUGACUGACGUUGAGGCUCGAAAGCGUGGGGAGCAAACAGGAUUAGAUACCCUGGUAGAC